CAAAAUACUCCACUCUCUCGCCGAGUAGCGCAGAUUGGCUCCCAUACUUAUGACAAGAAAAGGACAUUUUAUAAAACGUCGCACGUGGCAGUGAUGGCAGUGAGCGAGGGCACCCCCUGGGCAGCCGAACGAGCCCAUUUUGAAUUCGUUUUGCAAGCUGGUCUCAAGCCUAGCAUUAGAGUACAAGUACUCCCAAGUCACGUCCCGCGAACGUCCCAACAACGUGCCACAACCUCAAUUUCGGACGUGGAGCCAAGAUAACCGGGCCACAGAGACGAUAUUACAAGGCCGUUCCACUUCACGAAACAACGAGACGACAAUACAACGCAAAAAAAAAAUAAUAAAAGAAUAUAACGCAAGAAGAAAUAAAGGAAAGACAUCAGGAGGAGGAAAAAAUAAAAAAAGAAAACAGCGAAAGGAAAAUUGCCCGUCAUCUUCAAAAGCCAUCUUGUCAUUUCCCCCCCCCCCCUUCGUAUACUAUAGCAGAGAUCGCUCUCGCGCGCCUGGCAACACACAAGUCGGGUGGGGUGUCAGGAAAAGGUGGAGGAGAAAGUCCACUAACGGAAAAUCGAUACCUUUUCCCUUCACCUUUUCCGUCUUUCGCCGCCGUGUGUUUCGAGGAUAGCGUUCCUCGUUGCUACUACGCAGCAAUAAUUUUGCGUCAAACCCCCCCGUGCGUUCAAAAGUUUGCGCGACACACAUUUCCGUCGUGAAUGAAACCCACAGUGAUGGUCGUAUCUGACCCGCCCAGGUGCCCUCCGAGAGGAGAGAAUGUUUGUUCGUUU